UACAGAGGUCUCAAGCGUUGUUCGGAUUCAUUGGGCGUAAAGGGUGCGUAGGUGGCGCGCUAAGUCAGGUGUGAAAUUUCGGGGCUUAACUCCGAAACUGCAUUUGAUACUGGCGUGCUUGAGGACUGGAGAGGAGACUGGAAUUCACGGUGUAGCAGUGAAAUGCGUAGAUAUCGUGAGGAAGACCAGUGGCGAAGGCGGGUCUCUGGACAGUUCCUGACGCUGAGGCACGAAGGCCAGGGGAGCAAACGGG
rnacentral:rRNA from 1 species